AAAUAAUUAUAUUAGAAGAUAUUUUGAUUUAAUUUUUUUGAAUAAAGAGGUCAAAGAUUCAAUACGAAAUUUGAUCCAAUCUCCGAGCCUCUAAAUGCUUUGGGUGAUGAGAAGAACCUUAUCAUUUCAAUUUUGGAGACAAAGUUGAAGAUCCUGCAUUAUAUCUUUUGCAUUAAUCUCAUGCCAAUAAUGAAUUUGGAUCUAUCUAUUGGUGUUCUGACUAGUGCAAUCACCAGUGAAGAAGUGCAAAUUAGGUUUUGAGUUUGGCAAAUUUGAAGCCCGCUCAGUUCAUUCACAUCCCCCCUAUCUUCUACCCAGUAGAGUUGAUUGUAAUCUCCUCGUGUUUACCUAAUUGUGAAUGAGGCAUCAAGAAAUCAGACCAAGCUCUAAAGUCGAAAG